CUUCAGAAGGCACACCAGCGAUAAACUAUACACUAUACACUAAACUAUAUACACUACACUAAACUAUAUACUAUGAACGAUAUACAGUCAGUAAUUAUCUAGUUAAAUCGGCUGCGGGUCAAUCAACCUCACCCAACACUUAACAAAGGCCUUCACACGUGGAUGGGGGUGAUACCACUGGGCCUGAGGUUAGCGAUUGAGGGUCUGGCGCUGCUGUGAUGGGGGUAACGUGCCAUCAUUCAAUCAGUUAGGAAUCAUUUGCCCACUUAGGGAAGCACUGAUCGUUGUAAAGAGUCGUAGCCACCUAAGACCCAAUGCCACGAUAGAACUUAACGUGAACAUCAACUGAGGAGAAGGAACGUUUGGGUUGAGGGUGAGGGAGGGAGGGGUCACUGGAUAUAUAGAUGGGAGGUGAAGGGUAUAAUCUAAGGGGAGACUGAGAGAGGGAUAGGCAAGGUUGAUUCAUAGAUGGGAGGUGAAGGGUAUAAUCUAAGGGGAGACUGAGAGAGGGAUAGGCAAGGUUGAUUCAUAGAUGGGAGGUGAAGGGUAUAAUCUAAGGGGAGACUGAGAGAGGGAUAGGCAAGGUUGAUUCAUAGAUGGGAGGUGAAGGGUAUAAUCUAAGGGGAGACUGAGAGAGGGAUAGGCAAGGUUGAUUCAUAGAUGGGAGGUGAAGGGUAUAAUCUAAGGGGAGACUGAGAGAGGGAUAGGCAAGGUUGAUUCAUAGAUGGGAGGUGAAGGGUAUAAUCUAAGGGGAGACUGAGAGAGGGAUGGGCAAGGUUGAUUCAUAGAUGGGAGGUGAAGGGUAUAAUCUAAGGGGAGACUGAGAGAGGGAUGGGCAAGGUUGAUUCAUAGAUGGGAGGUGAAGGGUAUAAUCUAAGGGGAGACUGAGAGAGGGAUGGGCAAGGUUGAUUCAUAGAUGGGAGGUGAAGGGUAUAAUCUAAGGGGAGACUGAGAGAGGGAUGGGCAAGGUUGAUUCAUAGAUGGGAGGUGAAUGUUGUGAUAUUAUAAUCUAAGAGAAGACUGAGAGAGAGGGAUAGGCAAGGUUGAUUCAUAGAUGGGAGGUGAAUGUUGUGAUAUUAUAAUCUAAGGGAAGACUGAGAGAGAGGGAUAGGCAAGGUUGAUUCAUAGAUGGGAGGUGAAUGUUGUGAUAUUAUAAUCUAAGGGAAGACUGAGAGAGAGGGAUAGGCAAGGUUGAUUCAUAGAUGGGAGGUGAAUGUUGUGAUAUAAUCUGAGGGAAGACUGACAGAUGGCGAAGAAGCGAGUGUUCAUGAUCCUCUGCUGCUUCCUUUGUGGGUCAUGUGGAGGAGGAAGAUGAGGAGGAAUAAGGAAGAAGAGGAGGAGGAAGAAGGAGACAGAUGAGAAGGACAAGGACAAGUAGGAAAACGACGA